rfam:Macaca mulatta chromosome 3, whole genome shotgun sequence.
CAAGUACUGGUCUCAGCAGAUUGAGGAGAGCACCACAGUGGUCACCACACAGUCUGCCGAGGUUGGAGCUGC